rnacentral:rRNA from 1 species
AUUGAACGCUGGCGGCGUGCCUAACACAUGCAAGUCGAGCGGUAACAGGUGUAGCAAUACAUGCUGACGAGCGGCGAACGGGUGAGUAAUGCUUUGGAAUCUUCCCAGUAGUGGGGAAUAACCAGUCGAAAGAUUGGCUAAUACCGCAUACGUCUGUAAAGGGAAAGCGGGGGCUCGUAAGACCUCGCGCUAUUGGAUGAGCCAAAGUCGGAUUAGCUAGUUGGGGGGUAAUGGCCUACCAAGGCGACAAUCCGUAGCUGGUCUGAGAGGACGACCAGCCACACCGGAACUGAGACACGGUCCGGACUCCUACGGGAGGCAGCAGUGGGGAAUAUUGGACAAUGGGGGAAACCCUGAUCCAGCGACGCCGCGUGUGUGAAGAAGGCCUGCGGGUUGUAAAGCACUUUUAGNGGGACAAAAAGCUACGGAUUAAUACUCUGUGGUCUUGAUUUAACCCGAAGAAAAGCACCGGCUAACUCUGUGCC